rnacentral:rRNA from 1 species
UCCAGACUCCUACGGGAGGCAGCAGUGAGGAAUAUUGGUCAAUGGGCGAGAGCCUGAACCAGCCAAGUCGCGUGAGGGAAGACGGUCCUACGGAUUGUAAACCUCUUUUGUCAGGGAGCAAGGAGCGCCACGAGUGGUGCGGCGAGAGUACCUGAAGAAAAAGCAUCGGCUAACUCCGUGCCAGCAGCCGCGGUAAUACGGAGGAUGCGAGCGUUAUCCGGAUUUAUUGGGUUUAAAGGGUGCGUAGGCGGGCUUUUAAGUCAGCGGUAAAAAUUCGGGGCUCAACCCCGUCCGGCCGUUGAAACUGGGGGCCUUGAGUGGGCGAGAAGUACGCGGAAUGCGUGGUGUAGCGGUGAAAUGCAUAGAUAUCACGCAGAACCCCGAUUGCGAAGGCAGCGUACCGGCGCCCGACUGACGCUGAAGCACGAAAGCGUGGGUAUCGAACAGGAUUAGAUACCCGCGUA